rnacentral:lncRNA from 1 species
ACAAACACAAAUAAAAUUUAAAAAAUAUGGGCACAAAAAGAAACUAAUAUAUGGGUACAAAUUAAAAAUGAAAAAAAAAUUGGAACAAAUUAAAAAUAGGUACAAACUAAAAAUAAAAAUAUAUGAUAAAAAAUUUAGCCAUAAAUAUAAAUAUAAAUAUACUAAUUGUAACACUUUUAACACCAAAGGAAUAUAUUUAAAAAUAAAAAUAUUUUAUUAUUCAAAUAAUUAAUGAUAUUAUUAAUACCCAAGGACCUUGAUCAAAAAUUGAAAAUGAAUAGGAUUUUAAUUAAUGGAGUAUAAAAAAGAAGGAUGUGAACCUAAUUUCUCCUUUUAAGAAUUUAUGUGUGUUAUUCUUCAAACCUUGUGCCUUUAUUGUAAUAACUAAUAAGAUGGAGAUAAAACCUACUUUUCAAGUAAUUCAAAGUGUAAUAAGAAAGAUCUUCUAGAACACAAUUACACUAUGUUAAAUAUAAUUACGUUCACACUAUUCACACCCCUUUUUUAUAAAAACAAAAAAUUCGUGUUCGCAUUAUUCACACCUUCCACCACACAUCUCGUUUGGCUUAAGGAAACUUUAUUUUAACUUAUAACUUCUUUUUACACCCAACUUACUCUCUACACCCAUAUUAGUUCUAUUAAAGAAAAAAUCUCUCUUUAAACCCAAAUUUACUACCUAAACAACCCCAUCAAACCCAAUUCAAUAUGUAAAUUCAUUCUUAAAGAAUCAAUCUCUCUUUAAGCCUAUUGUUUUAUUUGUCAUGGCAACCAAUUGUUAUAGAUGGAUUGAUCAGUAGUUUCAAUUUGUUUUACAACUUUUUCAACGUUGUCGGUUUAUAGUGCAAGGCUGCUAGGAAAUGAUCUUUGCCAAGCUCUUAAUAGAGUAGUCCAGGUAGCUAAUCUGAAUGUGAUUCGUGAAACUGAGUGAUGCAUUUCUAAUUCAAGAUUAAACAGUUUAGUAGCAGCUAGGCAAGCAGUUGAACUGGUGCUUUUGGAAUUUGAAUCAUGUAAAAUUAUGUGGACACCUUAGUGAAAGUAAAUUUCAGUAGAAUUUCUCAUCACAUUUUCUUGAAGGAUCAUGGCAGUAAUUUUAUUGGAGUGAUAUGUGUUGCUUUUAUAGGCAUACCUAGUUGAAUUGGAAUCAAAACUUAACCACUUACGAGAUGAGUUCCUUAAGCAAGCGCUGGUAAUGACAUGAAACACAUUUCGAUGUGCUGAAAGCUUUCUACUCUUUUGUUUCUUGUGGUGAUAUGGUUUGUAAUUAUUGUUCUUGUUGAUCGAGUUAACAUGAAACUAGAGAGGAAACAAAAGCAAUCGAGUUUGAUUAUUGGGUGAUGGUAGGGUUUUAUGAUUGCUUUUAGAAUUUAAGUCAGAAUGAACGUAAGAUAAAAAUUGUGUGAUGGUAGAGUUUGAUUAUUGAAUGAAUUUUAAAUUUAUUGUUAAUUUCAUUUUGUAUUUUAUGGUAAUUAUGUAAUAUGGUAAAAUAGACAAUUCAAAUAUAAAAUUUAAUUUUGGGUAUAGAAAAAGAUUAGAAAUGAUCAAACA